UACGGGGGAGCAAGCGUUGUUCGGAUUUACUGGGCGUAAAGGGCGCGUAGGCGGUCAGCACAAGUCAGUUGUGAAAUCUCCGAGCUUAACUCGGAAAGGUCAACUGAUACUGUGCGACUAGAGUGCAGAAGGGGCAACUGGAAUUCUUGGUGUAGCGGUGAAAUGCGUAGAUAUCAAGAGGAACACCUGCGGCGAAGGCGGGUUGCUGGGCUGACACUGACGCUGAAGCGCGAAAGCCAGGGGAGCGAACGGG
rnacentral:rRNA from 1 species